rfam:Kibdelosporangium aridum strain DSM 43828 genome assembly, contig: LX79DRAFT_scaffold00016.16
UUGUUGGAGAGUUUGAUCCUGGCUCAGGACGAACGCUGGCGGCGUGCUUAACACAUGCAAGUCGAGCGGUAAGGCCCUUCGGGGUACACGAGCGGCGAACGGGUGAGUAACACGUGGGUAAUCUGCCCUGCACUCUGGGAUAAGCCCGGGAAACUGGGUCUAAUACCGGAUACGACUUGCAGUCGCAUGACUGUGGGUGGAAAG